AUUGAACGCUGGCGGCAGGCCUAACACAUGCAAGUCGAACGGUAGCACAGAGAGCUUGCUCUCGGGUGACGAGUGGCGGACGGGUGAGUAAUGUCUGGGAAACUGCCCGAUGGAGGGGGAUAACUACUGGAAACGGUAGCUAAUACCGCAUAAUGUCGCAAGACCACAGAGGGGGACCUUCGGGCCUCUUGCCAUCGGAUGUGCCCAGAUGGGAUUAGCUAGUUGGUGAGGUAAUGGCUCACCAAGGCGACGAUCCCUAGCUGGUCUGAGAGGAUGACCAGCCACACUGGAACUGAGACACGGUCCAGACUCCUACGGGAGGCAGCAGUGGGGAAUAUUGCACAAUGGGCGCAAGCCUGAUGCAGCCAUGCCGCGUGUGUGAAGAAGGCCUUCGGGUUGUAAAGCACUUUCAGCGGGGAGGAAGGCAAUACGGUUAAUAACCGUGUUGAUUGACGUUACCCGCAGAAGAAGCACCGGCUAACUCCGUG
rnacentral:rRNA from 1 species